GAGGGUAUAGCUGAAUGGUAAAGUGUGCACCUAGCAUGCAUAAGGUCCUGGGUUCAAUCCCCAGUACCUCUCA
rfam:Camelus ferus unplaced genomic scaffold scaffold165, whole genome shotgun sequence.